UGUAUUUUGUACUCUUUCGUCAAGUUUUUAAAUCAGUUACAUAUGCAGCCAUUUCAUUUAAGUUUUCUCUUUAUCCGUAGGAAACAAGGUGUUGUAUAUAUGCAACAAUAUGUGCACUUAAAAUUGAGGCUCCUUGGUGGUAUCUUGGCUGUCCAUAAUGUGCUAAGAAAGUAAACACCUACUUAAACCCUGAAACUGAAGCAAUAGAAAUGGAUAAGUUCUCAUGUGACGGAUGCGAGACAAUUGUUUGUUAUACAAAAACAAGGUACAUGUGUGAAGGACAUCUUCAGAUACGUGCAUCAACAGCAGUAAAACACAUGUCAAUCACAUUGAUGCUUAAGCUUACCUUGAUUUUAUGUAUAUAUUAGGAUCUAUAAAUAUCUCUGCAACUUUGUACAGCUGGUUUUAACAAUGAAAUUGGUUUAUCUUGGGUUAAUUAGACUGCAUACAAGUGAUCAUGCUUCUCUAAUUCAAAUUGAUUAUCUAUCUUAGAUUUUAUUUGUGAAUCAAGUUACAAUUUACGAUCAGAAAACAACCUAAUGCAAAAGUCCAUGAAAUGUUACCGAUAAUCCUAAUAUUGAUAUAUAUGUAACACUUAAGAUGAUUUAUGUACCUCGAUUUUAUCAAAUCGUUCAUUUAAUAAAACAAAUGACAGAGAUAGUAAAAAUCACGAACCUAGGAUGUGGCGAUCAUAUGGUUGUGUCGAUGCCACCUCUAGGAAAUAAAGCCGUAUCCGUAUCAGUUUUGAAAAUUAAAUUAGUCAAAGGCUGAUAAGAUUUACAAUAUAGCUCACCUCAGCUUAGAAAUACCCUUUAUACUUGAGACGUGAUGUCUUAACAUGAAAAUAUGAAACAUGAAAAUAAGCAAUAAGAAAGGAAGCCAUUAAUAAUGUGAUGAUCGUGGAGAAAAGAAAAUGAACAAGGCAAGAAGAAAACGUGAGUGACUUUUCACAAAAUAAUGACAAUUGGAAAUAAUCUUCACUUUGAUCUUCCCCCAAUAUUUCUGCAACUCCUAAGAACCUAAUUUCCUAAAUUUAUUCUCAUCUUCAUGUUAAAAGUUAAAUUUUUAUAUAUUCAGUUGCAUAUAAAUAAAUGAUAACAAAUUUAAUUUUACUACGCAGUUUCAAAUUUCAAUUUUUUUUUUAAUUUAUACAGUUAAUUUUGUAUAAUAUUAAAAAAUCAUUUACUAAUUAUAUAUGGAAUCUUAUUUUUAUCCUAUUGGCAAUGCCCGUGCAUUGAACUGCAGUUAUGAAUCAUCAAAAAUAAUUUUGUUGUGCACUCUCAAUUGCAUCUUCAAGAACCAUAUCAAUAGACACAGUUUUAUUUUUAUCUCUACAGCUUCCACAAUUUCAGAAUGAGGUAUAUCUCCAAUCCGAAUUCCGGUUCGGCUUUUUGGGUUUCGUUAUUUUGGUUUAAAAAAAAAUAACUACCAUAUUAAAACCAUAUCUACUUUGGUUUGGUUUGGUUUAUAUACCGUCGGUUUUCCGUUUACUACCAAAAACUAUGAAUAUAUUCACUUUUAUGACAUUUUAUGAAUUUUACUUUAUUUGAUUAGAUAUCGGCUUUAUUAAAACAUGAAAAUAAUUAGUAACCAUAUUUAGUUAAUAAUAAUAUUUUAAUAGAAUAAAAAUAAGAAAAUAGUAAUGCAUUAUAUUAUUAAAUAAGUAAAUGGUAGCACACAUAUUUGUCAACGAAAAACUUAAAUUUUAUUUAAUUUGAUAAAAAAGAAAAAAAAGCUUUAACUUAAAACAAAAAAAAAUUGAAUAACUAAAAUCAGCAUUUUAAGUAUGGAGAUCAUAUCAAUAAAAUAAAUUAUUUAUAUCUUAUUAUAUAUAUUAUAUAAUUUACAUAUAAUUAUACUACUAUAUUUAAAUUAAUCGGUUUGUUCUGUUUGACCGGUUUAUAUACUAAAUCAUAUUCAUAUACAAAUUUAAUUUUACAAUGCAGUUUUAAAUUUCAAAAUUGUAAUUUAUAUAAUUAAUUUUGUAUAAUAUUAAAAAUCAUUUACUAAUUAUAUGUGGAAUUUUUUUUAUGGUAAUGGCAAAUCCCGUGCAUAGCACCGGCCAAAAUACUAGUUUUAUAUAAUCAGUCGGGGAUACGUGACCCCGAACUCAUCAAGGUGGGUCCAUCCCUGGGUCAAUCCAAAUCAUUUCGGACGGGACGGAUCAUAGUUACGUCCAAAUAGAAAGUGGUUUAAAUGGGUUCAAGACCAACUUCACGGUAAAAAUACGGACAUCAACCAUGCGGCAAAUACUUUAGAUUUUGGUUUAAUUAAUUUAGGGGAAAGCUGGACUUUUUCUUCUUUUCUCUUUCUUUUCUACGCGGAAACACACAAUUUUACAUUUAGGUAAUAAAUUAUUUUACGAUUUUUGUGAAAAAAAAUUUGGAAGAUUAGGAACAUUUCUAGUAUCAACCUUAAAAACUUCAAAUAUAAGAUUUUGUUUACUCUAAAAUCACUGCAGAACAUCUAUACAUAUAUGUUUGAGAUUGUUUUAGUCUCUAUAUUUAUGUGUCUUUUAAAUAACUAGGUUAACGUUUCUAUUUUUCAUUUUAAUUUACAAUUUCUAAUAUACAUUAAAAGUAAUAGAUUCAAUAUGUUUUAGCUAGAACAUAUAUAUAAUUAACGAAGAGAUUCAUAUAUUACAUUAUAAAUAGUUAUAUUUAGUAUAUUUGAUAUCUUGCAUAACUUAUGUUUCAAUUUUUUUUUAAUUAUCAUUUAUUACAAUAUAGCGUUUAAUACUGUUUGUAAUAUUUUUAAUGUAUGUUUUAUUGUUUAUAAGAGUUUGUAACUUUUACUAACUUGAAUCAAUAUUGAUGACUAUAAUGUAAAUGUUUUUUAAAGUCAGAGUUAAAGUUUUAUUAUUGAGGAAAAACUUCUUUAAACUUCACAUUUAAAGUUUAAUAAGCUUUAAAUAAAAUUACUUUGUAAGAUGCUCUUACCACAAAAGAAAAAAAUAACGAUUUGGGUACAGCAUACAAUUUUAGUGUUUGAAUGUUAAAUGAAAACAAAAUACAAUUUUAUAGUGUUGGUUGGCGGUAAACACUAUUUUAUGGUUUUGUAGAAAACAUUAUUUGGAUUUCGUAGAAAAUUUUUUUUUUGCAAAUCAACACAAUUUGUACCCUAAUUUUACAAUGGAUUCUCUCAUCAAUGGAAAUUCGAAAACAUGGAAUUUACAGGCAAUUCGGUUUUCAGUGGAUUUUCAAACACUGCCAGAGUAUGGACACACGGACUCUCCCCUGAAGGCCUUUUGGUGGAAAGUAUAUUGACCACCUAAAAUAUAACAUAUUCUCUGGCAAAUGGUAUCAGAAUGUAUAGCGGUUAAGAAAAUUUUGAGAGCAAAAGGAAUUCAAGGUGAUACGCUUUGCGCCAGAUGUGGAGCACCUGAGGAGUCUAUAUAUCAUGUCUUUUUGAAUGACCACUGGCUGUUCAAGUUUGGACACUCUCAACGGAUCCCAUCAAAUCUAGAUAUUUUUCCUACUCAGUCUCUUUUCGCAAACAUGGAUCAUCUGUUUGGAGAGUUUUUCCGCAUACGGAAUAUCAUCUAUUUGCAUGGAUUUUAUAGUGCAUAUGACUAAAAUAGAACAAUAAGAUUUUUAGCAAUAUGGAUGUUAAUCCCGGAAAUACUCUCAAAUUGGCAGAAACAUAAUCAUUGCUUUGGACAGAGGGACAUGUUUACCUUACACAAAGGACUGACCAUAAUAGAUCGGUAGAGGUGGCAACUUUACCGGCUAUACUAGGCCGAUGGUGUUUUACGAA